rnacentral:rRNA from 1 species
GCCGAGAGGUGAAACGAAUUUCGCCUGAGGAUGAGCUCGCGUCUGAUUAGCUAGUUGGUGGGGUAAGGGCUUACCAAGGCUUCGAUCAGUAGCUGGUCUGAGAGGAUGAUCAGCCACACUGGGACUGAGACACGGCCCAGACUCCUACGGGAGGCAGCAGUGGGGAAUUUUCCGCAAUGGGCGAAAGCCUGACGGAGCAACGCCGCGUGAGGGAUGAAGGCCUCUGGGCUGUAAACCUCUUUUCUCAAGGAAGAAGAUCUGACGGUACUUGAGGAAUAAGCCACGGCUAAUUCCGUGCCAGCAGCCGCGGUAAUACGGGAGUGGCAAGCGUUAUCCGGAAUUAUUGGGCGUAAAGCGUCCGCAGGCGGCCUUGUAAGUCUGUCGUUAAAGCGUGGAGCUUAACUCCAUUUAAGCGAUGGAAACUACAGGGCUGGAGUGUGGUAGGGGCAGAGGGAAUUCCCGGUGUAGCGGUGAAAUGCGUAGAUAUCGGGAAGAACACCAGUGGCGAAGGCGCUCUGCUGGGCCAUAACUGACGCUCAUGGACGAAAGCCAGGGGAGCGAAAGGGAUUAGAUACCCCUGUAGUCCUGGCCGUAAACGAUGAACACUAGGUGUCGGGGGAAUCGACCCCCUCGGUGUCGUAGCCAACGCGUUAAGUGUUCCGCCUGGGGAGUACGCACGCAAGUGUGAAACUCAAAGGAAUUGACGGGGGCCCGCACAAGCGGUGGAGUAUGUGGUUUAAUUCGAUGCAACGCGAAGAACCUUACCAGGGUUUGACAUCCUGCGAACCCCUUGGAAACGAGGGGGUGCCUUCGGGAGCGCAGAGACAGGUGGUGCAUGGCUGUCGUCAGCUCGUGUCGUGAGAUGUUGGGUUAAGUCCCGCAACGAGCGCAACCCACGUCGUUAGUUGCCAGCAUUCAGUUGGGCACUCUAGCGAGACCGCCGGUGAUAAACCGGAGGAAGGUGUGGAUGACGUCAAGUCAUCAUGCCCCUUACAUCCUGGGCUACACACGUACUACAAUGCUACGGACAAAGGGUCGCAAACUCGCGAGAGCUAGCCAAUCCCAUAAACCGCGGCUCAGUUCAGAUCGUAGGCUGCAACUCGCCUACGUGAAGGAGGAAUCGCUAGUAAUCGCAGGUCAGCAUACUGCGGUGAAUACGUUCCCGGGCCUUGUACACACCGCCCGUCACACCAUGGAAGUUGGCCACGCCCGAAGUCGUUACUCCAACCCCUGUGGAGGAGGACGCCGAGGGUGGGGCUGAUGACUGGGGUGAAGUCGUAACAAGGUAGCCGUACCGGAAGGUGCGGCUGGAUCACCUCCUAACAGGGAGACAAACAAUGGUCUUGAUGCUUGAUCCAAUUUUGUGGUUAAGCCGAGAUCCUGUCAUCUCGAAGGUCGAUCGGUACCUCACGUUGCCAGCCAGGGUCAGCGUUACCUCGUUUGAGGAUGCGCAAGUGAUCUGGCGUGCAAUGAUCAGUUCCUAAACUUUGUCUAGGUCACCCCAGAGCGGGUAAACUCCUGGGCCAUUAGCUCAGGUGGUUAGGGCGCACCCCUGAUAAGGGUGAGGUCCCUGGUUCAAGUCCAGGAUGGCCCAUUCAGCGCCUGCGUAGCAGGCUGGACUUGAUGGCUGGGGGUUUAGCUCAGUUGGUAGAGCGCCUGCUUUGCAAGCAGGAUGUCAGCGGUUCGAGUCCGCUAACCUCCACUGAACGCGGCCCCACAGACAGGACCAGGAGUCCUGCGGGAUGAUCUAGCGGCGGUAAGCGCUGGAGCGAACGGAUUGAUUUCAGCCUCCACCCAUUCCCUUAGGGGUUGGAUGGAUGCUGAACUCAGCAUCGCUUGAGCCAUCGAUGAGAUGGUUCAAGGGAUGUGUGUUCAGCGAGAACCUUGACAACUGCAUAGGUGAGUCUGGAAAGAAAGCAUCUCAUGGAUGCUCCAGUGCAAUGGAGGCGAUCAGGCCGCAAGCCUGAUGGAAGCCGUUGUGCUGGAGAGAUUCAAUGAAAAGAAGAGCCGAGCACGGCAACCGUAUCUGACCUCUCGAGCAGAGGUGGCCAGAG